UACGUAGGGUCCGAGCGUUGUCCGGAAUUACUGGGCGUAAAGAGCUCGUAGGUGGUUUGUCGCGUUGUUCGUGAAAACUCACAGCUCAACUGUGGGCGUGCGGGCGAUACGGGCAGACUGGAGUACUGCAGGGGAGACUGGAAUUCCUGGUGUAGCGGUGGAAUGCGCAGAUAUCAGGAGGAACACCGGUGGCGAAGGCGGGUCUCUGGGCAGUAACUGACGCUGAGGCACGAAAGCGUGGGGAGCAAACAGG
rnacentral:rRNA from 1 species